UAGACCUGAAAUUAGUCGAGGUUACCCGCUGAAUUUAA
rnacentral:rRNA from 1 species